GGCCGCGUGGUCUAGUGGUAUGAUUCCCGCUUCGGGUGCGGGAGGUCACGGGUUCAAUUCCGUGGGGGACCA
rnacentral:tRNA from 1 species